rnacentral:ncRNA from 1 species
GCCUCCCAAAAGGUAAGUAGGCAUGCAAAGGUUUCCUCGGGCCGAAUGAAGAUUGGCCCUCGAGUGCAAAGCCAAGAAGGAGCUUGACUCUAUGAGCCACUCAUAAAGCUAGGACGAAAGUUGGCCUUAGUAAUUCCAUGGUGCCUGUUAGGAUUUUGACCCAAU